UACGUAGGCAGCGAGCGUUGUUCGGAGUUACUGGGCGUAAAGCGUGCGUAGGCGGUUGUCUAAGUUUGGUGUGAAAUCUCCCGGCUUAACUGGGAGGGUGCGCCGAAAACUGGGUGACUGGAGUGUCGGAGAGGUAAGCGGAAUUCCUGGUGUAGCGGUGAAAUGCGUAGAGAUCAGGAGGAACACCGAUGGCGAAGGCAGCCCCCUGGGCCAAUACUGACGCUCAUGCACGAAAGCGUGGGGAGCAAACAGG
rnacentral:rRNA from 1 species